GAAAAUUGUGUGUUUACCUUAGUACGCGCGAGUGAGCGGUAAAAGCUCAAAUUUGAAAUCUGGUACUUUCAGUGCCCGAGUUGUAAUUUGUAGAAUUUGUCUUUGAUUAGGUCCUUGUCUAUGUUCCUUGGAACAGGACGUCAUAGAGGGUGAGAAUCCCGUUUGGCGAGGAUACCUUUUCUCUGUAAGACUUUUUCGAAGAGUCGAGUUGUUUGGGAAUGCAGCUCAAAGUGGGUGGUAAAUUCCAUCUAAAGCUAAAUAUUGGCGAGAGACCGAUAGCGAACAAGUACAGUGAUGGAAAGAUGAAAAGAACUUUGAAAAGAGAGUGAAAAAGUACGUGAAAUUGUUGAAAGGGAAGGGCAUUUGAUCAGACAUGGUGUUUUUUGCAUGCACUCGCCUCUCGUGGGCUUGGGCCUCUCAAAAAUUUCACUGGGCCAACAUCAAUUCUGGCAGCAGGAUAAAUCAUUAAGAAUGUAGCUACUUCGGUAGUGUUAUAGCUUUUUGGAAUACUGUUAGCCGGGAUUGAGGACUGCGCUUCGGCAAGGAUGUUGGCAUAAUGGUUAAAUGCCGCCCGUCUUGAACACACGAACCA
rnacentral:rRNA from 1 species